rnacentral:sRNA from 1 species
CCCCCUAAGCCUCUUAAUAAUGCUCAAAUCUGGGGGC